rnacentral:rRNA from 1 species
CAUGCAAGUCGAACGGUGAACCUUGGAGCUUGCUCUAAGGGGAUCAGUGGCGAACGGGUGAGUAACACGUGAGUAACCUGCCCCGGACUCUGGAAUAAGCGCUGGAAACGGCGUCUAAUACCGGAUACGAGACGCAACCGCAUGGUUAGUGUCUGGAAAGUUUUUCGGUCUGGGAUGGACUCGCGGCCUAUCAGCUUGUUGGUGAGGUAAUGGCUCACCAAGGCGACGACGGGUAGCCGGCCUGAGAGGGCGACCGGCCACACUGGGACUGAGACACGGCCCAGACUCCUACGGGAGGCAGCAGUGGGGAAUAUUGCACAAUGGGCGAAAGCCUGAUGCAGCGACGCCGCGUGAGGGAUGACGGCCUUCGGGUUGUAAACCUCUUUCAGCAGGGAAGAAGCGAAAGUGACGGUACCUGCAGAAGAAGCACCGGCUAACUACGUGCCAGCAGCCGCGGUAAUACGUAGGGUGCGAGCGUUGUCCGGAAUUAUUGGGCGUAAAGAGCUUGUAGGCGGUUUGUCGCGUCUGCUGUGAAAAUCCGGGGCUCAACCCCGGACUUGCAGUGGGUACGGGCAGACUAGAGUGUGGUAGGGGAGACUGGAAUUCCUGGUGUAGCGGUGAAAUGCGCAGAUAUCAGGAGGAACACCGAUGGCGAAGGCAGGUCUCUGGGCCACUACUGACGCUGAGAAGCGAAAGCAUGGGGAGCGAACAGGAUUAGAUACCCUGGUAGUCCAUGCCGUAAACGUUGGGCGCUAGGUGUGG